AGUGAACGCUGGCGGCAGGCCUAACACAUGCAAGUCGAGCGGCAGCGCGGGGGCAACCCUGGCGGCGAGCGGCGGACGGGUGAGGAAUGCGUCGGAAUCUGCCUCUUUGUGGGGGAUAACGUAGGGAAACUUACGCUAAUACCGCAUACGACCUACGGGUGAAAGUGGGGGACCUUCGGGCCUCACGCAGAGAGAUGAGCCGACGCCGGAUUAGCUAGUUGGCGGGGUAAAGGCCCACCAAGGCGACGAUCCGUAGCUGGUGUGAGAGGAGGAUCAGCCACACUGGAACUGAGACACGGUCCAGACUCCUACGGGAGGCAGCAGUGGGGAAUAUUGGACAAUGGGCGCAAGCCUGAUCCAGCCAUGCCGCGUGUGUGAAGAAGGCCUUCGGGUUGUAAAGCACUUUUGUCCGGAAAGAAAAGCUUCCGAUUAAUACUCGGGAGUCAUGACGGUACCGGAAGAAUAAGCACCGGCUAACUUCGUGCCAGCAGCCGCCGUAAUAC
rnacentral:rRNA from 1 species